rnacentral:misc_RNA from 1 species
UGUAGAAAGGACUUGCUGAUACGGCUGCAAAACCAUGCAACUAUGUUAAUAUAAUGACAGAAGCAAGUUCAAAAGUAUAAUCAUAUCAUAAUUAUCAAAAUGCAUAUAUUAAGCAAAUUUAAGUUCAACAUCAACACCAUUUAAUCAUAUCAAAACAUAGCAUUACAGUGAAUUAGAACUGGCCAGGGCCAGUUCAUGCCCUGAACUGAAUCGACCCUAAACCUUAUAUAGGGGGCCAGUUUUGGUCCCCCCCUCCCAACCCGGAAUCAGAACCGGCAGUCCAGUCCAGUUGAACCAUAUUUAAAAAAUGGGCAACGUGGUGGAUGCGGGAAUGCACCACAUGGACCAAAUUGCUCAAAAACAGAAACCGAAACCUUCAUUGAACUGGACCGAAAUUGGUCCUGAACUGAAACUGGCUGGAACUGCCCAUGGCCAGUACGGUUAAAUUCAUUCCCUUUCCCAACCCUGACCUGCCUGUUCUGGCCCAGAAUAGGCCCAGACCAGACCAGUGGCCAGGUCUACUGUGCAUGCAUUUGACAAAACAGUGCCAAAGUCCAGUAGUUUAACUGCAAAAAAUUGGGUUUAUGCUCCAUCCACAAGCAUUCCAUUUGCAAAGGAUUGUUUUACUGGCAAAAUCUAGCUCACUUUGCAUCAUGGUUAACUACAGAGAAAUUCAGGUGCUUACUAACAUGCACACCAGUGAUCUGGGCAAGUAAUUGUACAUAUGGACACUAAUAAAUAGGUAAUUGACAUGAAAAAGUGCUUACCAUGCAUAUGGAUAACUCCUCAUGUGCGUGCAUGCACGCUCUUGUAUAUAAGAACACAAAGCCACAUUCAUGGCAAGGACAUAUUUAGAGAACCUAUUGCAGUAGGCGGUGCCUCUCAUCUCAAUUCACAACGUGCAAUGGGGGUGGCGAGCAGGCAUACUUACAAGUACUUGUACUUUUACACACACAUAUUUACCGAUAUGCAGGUAAGCACACAUGUUACAAAAGCAGUAAUAGAUAGUAUCUGCCAUCUCAAUUCAUAUGCUUAUGUGCACAUGCGUUCACACACACAAAUGAAAAGACUUGCCUUUAUGCAAGUAAGCACUACUCCAUUUUAAACCUCAUUUUAUUAGUGUACAUAUUUACAAAACAAGUAACAGACCUCUCCCAUCUAAAUUUAUUUAUUGCCGAUUGUUACUUCCAAAAGCUCCCUCCCAUGGCUCCUAACAGUGUCAUCACAAAAAAUCCAUUAUUAAAAACUGACUACAAAGGAUAAUUUUAAGCAAUUCAUUUGGUCUUUCAUAUUCUCAAUUUAAGCCAACUUAAUCAGAGCUCUAAGAAACAUGCAGUUUUGUCCAAAUUAUGACAGUGCUCAACACUCUCUCUAUCAAGCUAUUUGUCCAAAUUAUGACAGUGCUCAACACUCUCUCUAUCAAGCUAUUUGUCCAAAUUAUGACAGUGCUCUACCCUAUCAUUUUAUGUGUGUACAUUUUAUAUAUAAAGUAGACAAAAACCACUGCACAUUUUAUAUGUACUCAGUUUAGAAUGGGCAAUGAAAGGCCCAGCAAGGGUAGACCAAUAUUGUAAUAUCUAUUUAUUUUCAAAUGCUUCCAUACAUCAUAAUAAUACAAACAAGAAGUACAAACAAUAACUAACCAUAUACAUAGUUAUUAUUAGGAGAACAGGAGGGCUCAGUUU